AUGGUGGGAGGCCAUCGUUGGCGCAUCGAGUACUAUCCUAAUGGCGACCGCCCAGAGUGCACCGACUCCAUAUCUCUCUUUUUGCGCCUAGUUGACAGAAGUGUAACAGGGACUUUGAAGGUGAAGUUCGAUUUUAGUUUUGUCAACCAGCAUGAGAAGCAAGAUUCGUCAUAUAUUCUUGCAGUCAAGCCAGACGACUUCUCCAGCCCAAGCACAUCUUGGGGUUACAACAAUUUCAUAAAAAGACAAGAUCUUGAGAAAUCAAAUAAUCUAAAUGAUGAUUGUUUCACCAUCCGAUGUGAUAUUGCGAUUGCCACCACCGUUGAUCUCUUUAUUAUGGUACCACCUUCAGGAAUACAUGAGCAUAUCAGCAACCUCCUUCUGUCCAAGGAGGGCACCGAUGUGACAUUCAAGGUUGGCGAGGAAGAGUUUGCUGCCCAUAGGUGCGUGCUCGCGGCUCGGUCUGCGGUGUUCAAGGCAGAGCUCUUUGGCCCCAUGAAGGAGGGCAAAAUGGCAAGCGUCAUACAGAUCGAAGAUAUGGAAUCAAAAGUUUUCAGGGCCUUGCUUGGCUUUAUUUACACUGACUCACUGCCCGAAAUGGAGAUGAACACAAUAGAUGAAGGAAAAGCCCAAGAAACAUUGUGGCUGCAACAUUUGCUUGCAGCGGCGGAUAGAUAUGAUCUCCAAAGGCUGAAAGCACUAUGUGAAGAGAGGUUGUGUGAACAAAUAAAUGUGAGCUCUGUGACAACUAUUCUUACUCAAGCCGAGCAGCUCAAUUGUUGUGGAUUGAAAGGGGUAUGCUUUGAGUUUCUCAAAACUACCACUAAUUUGAAAGAGAUAAUAGCCGUGGACGGAUUGGACGACAUAACUAGAACCUGCCCCUCUCUUCUAAAAGAGCUCAUUGCCAAGCUUGUUUCCUAA
rnacentral:rRNA from 1 species